rnacentral:lncRNA from 1 species
AAGAGUACCAUUGAGGAAUGCAUUUUUGACAUCAAGUUGAUGAAGGGGCCAUUUUUGUGUAACAGCGAGAGAGAGUACAACCCGAACAGUAGUAGCCUUGAUUACGGGACUAAAAGUAUCAGUAUAGUCAAGACCAGGGACCUGUGUAUAACCUUUGGCAACAAGGCGGGCUUUAAGGCGCUCAACAGAUCCAUCAGGUAAGUAUUUGGUUCGGAAUACCCAUUUGGAGCCCACAAUGUUGGUGUUGGCAGGGCGAGGUACCAAAACCCAGGUGCGAUUAUUCUGUAAUGCAUGAAUUUCUUCAUCCAUGGCAGCAAGCCAAGCAGGAUUUUUAACAGCAGAUUUGAAACCUUUGGGCUCAGUCGAUGCAAAAAGAGCAGAAAGAAGACCAGAAGAGCCCAAGAAACUAAGAUUGGCUGGAUAUCGAGUCUUGAAAAUGCCAGCUUUAGCUCUUGUAAGCAUAGGAUGAGUGGCCAACGGGACCACUGCAGUAGGUGUGGGAUCUGCACCAGGUUCAAGAGGAGAUGAACUUGGAACCGAGGUCUGUAAAGAGGCACCUGCAAGAGAAUGAGGAUCCUGCAAAGACUCAAUCACUGGAUCAGUACACAUAAUACAUGGAUUAGAACUGGAUUGAGUGAGUUGUGAAGAACGAGUGUCAGGGAGUGGGGGAGGUGGAUCUGCAUGGGUGAGGCUAGGUUCCAGAAAAUUGGAAAAGUUAAGGGAGGAUAUGGGUUGAGCUUGAGAGGUAGCAAUGGAAGGAAAAUGAGUUUCAUCAAAUUGAGCAUGGCGAGUAAUAUAGAGCCUAGAGGUGGAAGGCUCGAGGCAACGAAACCCUUUGUGAGAGGGACUGUAACCUAAGAAAAUACAUGGGAUGCUGCGAGGAGAAAAUUUGUUAGGCAUAUAAUCUCGUAAGCAAGGAUACACACGACAACCAAAAGGGUGAAAGUUUUCAUAGUUCGGAGGGUUACCAUACAAAAUCUCAAAAGGUGAUUUACCUCCAAGGAGUGGUGUAGGCAAGCGGUUGAUGAUGUAAGCUGCAGUGCUGAACGCGUCAACCCAAAAGCGAGGAGAAAUGUGGGAGUGAAAAAGGAGUGCUAAUCCCAUCUCAGUUACAUGGCGAUGUUUUCUUUCAGCACGACCAUUUUGGGCGGGUGUGUAUGGACAUGAGAGCUGAUGGUGAAUGCCACUAGAGCGGAGAUGAUCUUGGAAGAAAUUACUGGUAAAUUCACCACCGCCGUCACUUUGGAAAAUUUUAAUUCGAGUGGAGUAUUGAUUUUCCACAAAUUUUUGAAAUUGAAUAAAAACAUUAUAAAAGUCAGAUUUCAAUUUUAAAGGAUAGAGCCACGUGAAACGAGAAUAGUCAUCGAUAAAAAUGACAUAAUAGACAAAUCCUAAAUUAGAUUUGACUGGAGACGGACCCCAAAUGUCGCAAUGGAUAAGAUCAAGUGUUUUCGAUGACCUAUGUUCAUUUCGAGAAUAAGGCAAGCGAUGACUUUUAGCAAUUUGACAUGUGCCACAUAAAGUUGGAGAAGGCAACAAAGAUGUAAGAUAAAGCUGGCCUUUUUUAUUCAAUAGAGAAAUAACAGAAUGAUUGACAUGUCCAAGUCGUGCAUGCCAUAAAUCAUAGGACGCACGAAGCGAUUUAUUUUUAAGAACAGAAAUAAAAGUAGAAUGACUUCGCUCAAGCAUAUAUAAGCCUCCAUCACACUUACCGGUUGCCACCACCCUUCCUGUUUUGCGAUUCUGUACAGUGAAUAUGUUAUUAGUAAAGGUAACAGAUAAAGGAAAAUCUGAUGUUAAUUUUCUGAUGGAAAGUAAAUUCUUGGUAAGGCGAGAUACAGUUAGGACAUCAAGAAGAUGUAGAUUUGGGGUAGGGAAAAUUUUACCAGUAUGGGUAAUGGGUAGUGAGGCACCAUUCCCAACAACCACACAAUCCUUACCCAUGUAAUUUGUGGCCUGAUCCAAUUUAGAGUGAUCCAUGGUCAUAUGGGCUGAAGCCCCUGUAUCCAAAUACCAGUCAGAGCCCACAUCUUCAUUUAGAGAACAAGAUCUCAUGAAGGCUUCAGCAAGGUGAGCUGGUGUCUCAUUCUAAUCAUAGCGUUGAAGGCACCGAUCAGCAAAGUGGCCAUCCAUCCUGCAAAUCUGGCAUCUUGGUGGACGACGCCAUUGGCUGUAGUUGGAGCGUCCUUGUCCACGACCAGAUGAACUACUGCCACGCCCACCGAAGCGACCCCGAUGACUACGAGAAGAGCCACCACGAUGGGUGGAAUUUUUUUGUGACAGUAAAGGCUGUCGCUGCUGGAGAAGAUGAGUCAAGGGAUUUCUGAAAAAUUUCAAAACUUUCGGCCUUUGAGACUAAAUCUGCAAAUGAGGGCAGAGAAGUUUGGGCUAUUUGUGCUGUGGAGAAACUAGAGAAAUCAGUACCGAGCUCACGGAGAAACCAGUGCACCUUGUCAGUACCAUCAACUGGACAACCAAUUGCAUGUAUUUGAUCACAAAUUGCUUUGAAGGAACGGGCAUACUCCACAACCGAUCUAUUGCCGCGUUUCAUUAAUUGCAAGUCAUCCUUAAGGCGUAGUUCUCGAGCUUUAGAACGAUGGCUAAAUGCAUUUUCUAGUGCCAGCCACACGUCUCGUGCGGUGGAGAGGCCAACUACCUCAGCCAUGGCUUCCUCUGUGAGGGAGGAAAGUAACAAACUGAGGAGAUGCUGACCAAUAGCUUUCCAUGCUAGGUAUUUGUCACUUGGCGUGAGAGAAGUGGUAGCGUCAAGUUUUGGGGGCUGCACAAGGGUGCCAUCAACAUGUCCUAAUAAUUCUUAACUUUCAAGAAGAGGGAGGAGUUGGGCUUUCCAGAGAAGAUAAUUUGAGGAGGAAAGUUUAAUGGUGAUCAUGUGGAUUAAGGUAUCGAAAGGAAGAAGGGUGGCAGAAGUUUCAGAAGCCAUGAAGGGAAGAAGAAGAAGAGGAUAUGUGGUAUGUAUGUUAAACCACUUGGCUCUAAUACCAUAAGAAUG